CGACGCCCGUGAUCGGAAAUAGGCCGACGGCGCACAUAUCCUCCCAUCCGUGAGCAGGCCCUGCGCCUCCUCCUCACAUCUUUUUUCUUGAAAAGGAGGAAGGACGCGGCCGAAUCUAGACAAAAAACGGCAGGGAGAAGCCGCUCCAUACCAUGACCCACGCCGCUGCUCCAACCUCUGCUUUGGCGGCUGCUGCUCCAUCUACUUGGUCCGGCUGCUGCAGCUCCAACCCGUGAAAACAAGUUACAGAGAAAUCAAAGAAUAAGGAGAAAAUCAGAGAAAAAGGCAUCAUUGCAGUGGAGCAAGGAGGAACAAUCAGGUGAUCUAGCAUUUAUUUUGCUCAAACUGAAGGUUAUUGUUAUAAUCAACAGUGCGCCUUCAUUCAGCAGGCUACCAUGGAGCUCUCGUUGAGUCGUUGUUGGGCAUGCUAGAUGAUGAAAAAUUGGAUCUACCCCAUUGUAUACAUGUUUUUUUUCACGGCAAGAUCAUUUGUGUAUUUUGAAAUGCUUCGUCAUGACCUGUAUGUGCUAGAGAAAGUAUGGCUUCACAAGUUUACGACAGAACUUUUGGCAGGUUAGGUCUCAUUUCCAGAUGAUGUUAAAUUUUGAAUGUAUAUAUUACCGACUUACUAUAUUAUUCAUGGUGCAUUCUGUUUAGAUAUUAACCUAUUGGUUGCCAUGAAGGUGUUGGCAUUGUUCACAACAGCAAAACCAGGAUUAUCCCGUGAUUCCAAAGCAAGUUUCUUCCCCUGAAAAUAAGCACUUGAUAUGAUUACCAUUAACAUGCUAUUACUUCCAGCCAUGAAUAUGCUUGAUGGGUGAGGUGCUCAUAAUUUAUUCUGAUUUAAAUUGGUUGUAACAAUCAGUAGAUGGCAUUAUACAUCACUAUCAUGUUUCUGGCUUACUGUAAUAUUCUUCAUAUAGUUAUCGGUGUUCCAAUAAUUGCUUUUAAUUUCUUGAACCAUCAUGUUCUGGUGUGGUACUGGUAUGUUCGGUGGUUGCCCAUAUCCCAUAGUUUCCUCCGUUUGAGAUUUUCAUUGACGCAUGGGCUGACUUUGAUGUGGUUGUUGGUUCUCUGAUCUGUUAGCUUGUUUUUUCCGCUGCAUAUGAAACAGAGAAGUGUGCUUUUAUUAUCACUUGUCAUUUCUCAUAGAAAGAAAUACAAGGUUGAUGCAUUCUGUGUCAGUGAAACACCUUUUUUUUCCCUCUGUUUGAGAUAAUGCUUGUUUGGUAGUCCUACUCUUGAGCACUACUGAUGGUUAGAUGUGAUCAGUACAUACAGAAUGGUUUGAACGAUUUGGUAAAUACUGUGUCGUUGGUUAGAAAGUAUGGCUACAGAACUUUUGGCAGGUUAGGUCUCAUUUCCAGAUGAUGUUAAUUUUUUUAUGUAUAUAUUACCGACUUACUAUAUUAUUCAUGGUGCAUUCUGUUUAGAUAUUAACCUAUUGGUUGCCAUGAAGGUGUUGGCAUUGUUCACAAAAGCAAAACCAGAAUUAUCAUGUAAUUCCAAAGUAAGUUUCUUCCCCUGAAAAUAAGCACUUGAUAUGAUUACCAUUAGCAUGCUAUUACUUCCAACCAUGAAUAUGCUUGAUGGGUGAGGUGCUCAUAAUUUAUUCCGAUUUAAAUUGGUGGUAACAAUCAGUAGAUGGCAUUAUACAUCACUAUCAUGUUUCUGGCUUACUGCAAUAUUCUUCAUAUAGUUAUCGGUGUUCCAAUAAUUGCUUUUAAUUUCUUGAACCAUCAUGUUCUGGUGCGGUACUGGUAUGUUCGGUGGUUGCCCAUAUCCCAUAGUUUACUCCGUGUGAGAUUUUCAUUGACGCGUGGGCUGAUUUUGAUGUGGUUCUUGCUUCUCUCAUAUGUUAGCUUGUUUUUUCCGCUGCAUAUGAAACAGAGUAGUGUGCUUUUAUUAUCACUUUUCAUUUCUCAUAGAAAGAAAUUCAAGGUUGAUGCAUUAUGUGUCAGUUAAACACCUUUUUUCCUCUGUUUGAGAUAGGAUGGUUAGAAUGAUUUGGUAAAUAUCGUGUCCUUGGUUAGAAUCAUAGUCAUAUGAAUCAAAUUUGAUGUUUCGGAAAUGAUACUUCAUUUUAUAUUAUGGUGAUCCUUUUUACGCGAUUAUGUUGAUCGUUUGGCUGGGAUAUUUUAUUUGGUUCCCUGUGGUUCAGCCAGUAUGCGAUAGUGUCGACCAUGGCUACAAUAGUUGAAGGGCGUUAUUUAUCUAAAGAUGCCUUUCAGAAAAACGCCAAUAUACUUCUUGGCAAAUAUCUUGUUUGGCAGCUUGAGUUGGUCCAGGCUGUGUGGUUCUUCAUGGCCUACUUGUACCUACAGUUUUGCUCAAGCUGGACGUUUGGCUUUGUUACCAUUUUGUUUGUGCACUGCACCAAUUUGUAGCUUCAUUUUGGUUUUCUUGUAUGACUCACAAACUUAUGCCUGGAUGGAUAUGCACUUGACAUUGUAAGUUGAGAUAUUACCCGUCGCUAUAGUCUGGAUCCUAGGAGUUGUUCGUCUGUUUUAAAUUAUUUUGAAUCAUCACUUUUUUGAGUUCUAGGAUUACGUACUAAAUAUCAUCUACGUUUUCUCUUCUCAAGUUACAUAGAUAGUUGGAUCUAGAAGUGGUAGUGUUCAACUUUUUUAUUCUGCAGAUCAGCAAUAUAGGGAUUCUUCAUGAAUAUGAGUUUCUCAGAAGCAGUGUGAAUUAGUUACUGCUGUUGUACCAUUUUGUGUGGGACUAUAUGUACAAUGGUUCAUAUUAUACACAAAUUAGCAUUUUGUGUAGCAUUUUGUCAUAUCCUUCAUGAAUAAUGAGUUCUCACAAGCAGGGUGAUUUCGUGCCAAUGCGUAAUGUAGCUCCUGCUAAGCAGAAUAGCGCAUAUAUGUCAAGGAUCUAUGAAGAUAUAUGUAAGUCCUAAUCAGAAUAGUGUAUAUAUCAAGAAGAUAACCUUUCCUGUUCAGGUUGUCAAUCUAUUAGAUUUCCUUUGAUAGACAGCAUACUGUGUAUUCAUUUUUGAUACACAAUCUAUUAUUUCUUUUGGGGCAUGGAAAAACAAGUUAGAAUACUAUAUGGAUUGUCAAAGUUCUCACCCAUGUUAAAUUGCCCACUGGUUUUUUUAUUUACAGAUAUUGCAGGACGGAAAGGAUCAAACCAUGCAUCCCCAAUAUUUGUUCAGAUUGUAUGAUCAUGUGGAUCUACCAUUUAUGAUGUUGGAGGGACUACCUUCUUACAAUUAUGUGAGAUACAUGUAUACAUACUUUGAUGUAAUCCUGGAUCCUAUAUAAUGCUAUUGCAAGUAUCUUGAUGUC